rnacentral:rRNA from 1 species
GGNGCUCUCCCNUAUGGUCGACCUGCAGGCGGCCGCGAAUUCACUAGUGAUUAGAGUUUGAUCCUGGCUCAGGAUGAACGCUGGCGGCGUGCCUAACACAUGCAAGUCGAACGAAGCAUUUCAGAUGAAGUUUUCGGAUGGAUUCUGAGAUGACUGAGUGGCGGACGGGUGAGUAACACGUGGAUAACCUGCCUCACACUGGGGGACAACAGUUAGAAAUGACUGCUAAUACCGCAUAAGCGCACAGUACCGCAUGGUACGGUGUGAAAAACUCCGGUGGUGUGAGAUGGAUCCGCGUCUGAUUAGCCAGUUGGCGGGGUAACGGCCCACCAAAGCGACGAUCAGUAGCCGACCUGAGAGGGUGACCGGCCACAUUGGGACUGAGACACGGCCCAAACUCCUACGGGAGGCAGCAGUGGGGAAUAUUGCACAAUGGGCGAAAGCCUGAUGCAGCGACGCCGCGUGAGUGAAGAAGUAUUUCGGUAUGUAAAGCUCUAUCAGCAGGGAAGAUAAUGACGGUACCUGACUAAGAAGCCCCGGCUAACUACGUGCCAGCAGCCGCGGUAAUACGUAGGGGGCGAGCGUUAUCCGGAUUUACUGGGUGUAAAGGGAGCGUAGACGGCAUGGCAAGUCUGAAGUGAAAACCCAGGGCUCAACCCUGGGACUGCUUUGGAAACUGUCAAGCUAGAGUGCAGGAGAGGUAAGUGGAAUUCCUAGUGUAGCGGUGAAAUGCGUAGAUAUUAGGAGGAACACCAGUGGCGAAGGCGGCUUACUGGACUGUAACUGACGUUGAGGCUCGAAAGCGUGGGGAGCAAACAGGAUUAGAUACCCUGGNAGUCCACGCCGUAAACGAUGAGUGCUAGGUGUUGGGGGGCAAAGCCCUUCGGUGCCGUCGCAAACGCAAUAAGCACUCCACCUGGGGAGUACGUUCGCAAGAACGAAACUCAAAGGAAUUGACGGGGACC